rnacentral:rRNA from 1 species
GUAACGAGCGCAACCCUGUCCUUAGUUACCAGCACGUUAUGGUGGGCGACUCUAAGGAGACUGCCGGUGGACAAACCGGAGGAAGGUGGGGAGUGACGUCAAGUCAUCAUGGCCCUUACGGCCUGGGCUACACACGUGCUACAAUGGUCGGUACAAAGGGUUGCCAAGCCGCGAGGUGGAGCUAAUCCCAUAAAACCGAUCGUAGUCCGGAUCGCAGUCUGCAGCUCGACUGCGUGAAGUCGGAAUCGCUAGUAAUCGUGAAUCAGAAUGUCACGGUGAAUACGUUCCCGGGCCUU